UACAAAGUAGUUUAGAAUAAAAUAAAGUCUUGAAAAGACUUAGAGGGAGUUUGAUGAUUUCUUUUGUAG
rnacentral:tRNA from 1 species